rnacentral:lncRNA from 1 species
CAUUGAGAGUAUACUCUCAUCCACCGAACUUGUGCUUCUGCUAGGGUCAAAAAUGGUGUCAUCAACUGGGCGAGGGAUGUUCAGUUCAGAAGUAUACGAAACUAGAGAUUCCCCUUCAACAGAAAUUUGGCGUUGAUACUCCGGUGACGUCAAGGCGUAUGCGAUCAUACUUGUGGGUUCAUCAUCAUACACCGGAACAACGAUAUCAUUGAUGCCUACGGGAAGAAGUAGCCUUGGUCCACCUUGAAGCUCUGCCUCUCUAAAAGAUGAAAUAUAGACAGGGCUAUGCUCUCCAAAUGUAUCGAGCUUCUGAGAGCUAAGCAAAAAAUUCUUGUUGAUGGAGCGGUAGAAAUUGAGGAAUGGCACACCUAACCAGCUUACAGAAUCUUCUGAGCUCUCAUAAUCUUUACUCGGUAGAGCAGGUGAAACUGGAUACGCCACCUUGAAUUCGUUUUGCUGUUCUGGGAGAUCUAUUGGAGGGAAAGUUGAAGAGUUUGAAGGAGGAAGCAAGAUCUUAGUAUUGGUUGGAAUCUCCCCUGAUGUCUGACGCUCGCCUAUCCAUGCUGCAUCAAGAGUAGCUGAUAGAUUUUUCAUAACUAUCUCGCCAUCAGACUGUGUCCUGCGAACAUCGAGUUUACUUUCCAGAGGUUCAGAACUAUCAGGUAAGGUCUUGCUGGGAGAGACUUCUCCACCAUCUUCCUUUUCCGGAUUCAUAUCUAAAUUCGUAUCCGCUUCCUUCUGAACCUUAGUGUCAUCGGUAGAAACACCAUCAGGAUUCUGAUCAACCUCUGAGCCAGAAAGAAGAGAGUUAGUCCCAGCAUUCAUCUCGGGGAGGGUCUGGCUCUUAGCCAAGGGUACUUUCUCAUUUUCAUCACUACUCUCAAUCUUAGAUAAACUUGAUGCAUUAAUCAAGCGGUGAUCCCACAUAUAUGACUGAAAAAUCAGCUGCCUGCGAAGCCGGUACAGCUCAAGAAUAUCCACUUGAGGUUGGCCUUCCUUCACCUCCCUGUGCAACAUCAUCUUUUGAAUAUUAUCCUGAAAGAAAUGUCAGAACGUUACAAAACAAAACCUUUUGUCUUAAAAAUAAUAAUUGUAGUAUAUUGGUUUUAAGAAAACUCUUUAAUACAUAAUUUAUUACCUCGAACUCUGCUUUCUCUCUUUGCAGCAAUUCUUCGAGUUCACCAAUUCGACGCCUAAAACCUUUUGCUGCAAUUUGACUAAUAGCAUUCAAUACUUCAGAAAACAGAAGCUCUGCUCUCUCUACCACCUGAAUAAUAAAAGGGAAGACAAGUCAGUUAAAAUGUGUGAGAUUUCAAAACCGCAUCCCAGUAAAAUCACAGAUAUUUAACCUCAUCUGUCUCUCUCUGUAUCCAGUCCUGAUUAUCAUAGUUGAAACUAAGAACUGAUGGUGGAAGGUAGACAGAAUUAACAUCUAUAGUAGCGUAACGGAAGCAAGCAACCAUGUUCCCGAAUCUGCAUGGGUACAACUUGUUAGAGCAAAGGAAUACAGAAUUUUUCAGACAUGUUUCACCAUUUUGAAAGUACCCGUAGAAACGAAGACAGUCUCUAUGGAGAGAGUGGCCACAACAUGCUACUCUACUGGCAGCUGCGUGAUUUGAGAAACUGAGCUCCAGAAACUUCCCAAAGGAUAAUCCCCAUGCAGCAUCAGACAUCACCACUCGUAGAGUCGCGGGAGGAAAACCGUCAGGUCGAGGGCAUCUCAGGCAUCUAUGCCACAUCCAAAUCUUCCCCUCCUUUUCACCAGGUAAGAGACAAUCUUGAAGCUUCUUGACAGAUAUCGUAAGGCUGCCUUGUCGAUGAGUGUAACAGUGAACGUGAGCUUCUGAUGGCAUCUCACAUGAACGACACCUGUAACCCUGCAAUUCGAGCAUGUAUUUAAGUUACCAUAUUAAUAUGUAAGCUGCAGUAGAGAAGUCACACUGUAAAACAUAUAUAAAGUAGAAAAAAACCUACCUGAUCGAACAAAUGAUCUCUCAAGAACCGUCCCAAGGGUUUAUCGAAACUACCAUAGUACUUUAUCCGGAAGAGAUGAGACCUCUCACACACAGUUCCUUUCCACACUGAUCUGGACGAUAGAGAAACCAAGAUGCUUUGGUGAUCAGAGGGUGCCGGAGGAAACUCCUCUUUUUGAGAUUGUGGUUCCUUUGGAGUCUCACUGUUUUGUUGUUGGAUGGCCGUAAACUCUGUACCAUUGUCCUGGUUUUCUACUACAACGCUCUUACUACUUUGAGAACUCUGUGGCACAACGCCUUGCCCUGAUGAAUGUAGGGAACUGUCCAAUAUGUCUGUUGGGUUGCUUUUGUCGGCCAGUGCAGAUCUUUCAGAAAAAUCUGCGUUUCUUCCAGCUAUCAAACGGUCAGGCAAAUUCAAUGGAACAUUAUAGCGUGAAAAUGUGAAACCCGGAGUUCCUUCUCUACCCUGCCAGCCUGAACCAUUGGGUAUCAGAGGGUUUAUGUCCUUCUGGAUGGAUACAUUAGCAGUGGUUGAAAGCAACUCAGAUGCUGGGACACUGUUUGCUCGCUGUGGUUCGGAACCAGUUAGCAUUGUUGGAGACUUUUCAUAUGCAGAGACCAUGAAACCUGGCACAGUAGAUAUCGAACGUUCAAUGCUCAUGGAUUUAUCUGGAAGAGCUACCGUAAUCGGGGAGUUCAAGGGGAGUUCUGGUGAGGCUCCUUCGUCAGCAAGAAACGAUGUCUCCAGUGCCAAAUGAUAAGCUGCGAAAACUCCAUAUUGGACCACAUGCUUCACUUUUUUCAACUCUUCUUCAUUAGCACCCCUAAGCAAAAUCUGAUGAAGAGAGAACACAAAAAAAAAAACAAGAAGUAGUUAUGAAGCAAUCAGAUAUAAGAGAUCUGCUCAGCGUUUUUUUUUUUAAUUCUAAUGGCUAGGAGUGCUUACUGUAAAGCCUAAAGGCCUUGGACAACCCUCAAAAUACAUCAACGUCUUCACUACUUUCUUUCCAGCUUGACCAGCUGAACCAUGUUCUUCAAGAAACCUAUCCACACGAAAAUUCUCACAGUAACCCAGCUUUUGAGAGGAGAGGUGGUCUACUGAAGGAAUUAUCUGAGCACCAGUGCAGCGAGCAAUGCGGUCUAAAAGUGGCCUCUUAAUGUUUAGAACAAGAGAUAUGUCUUUGGCUAGAAGGUACUCUUGCGCAAAUCGAGAAACUGAUUUUUCGACUAGUAGAAUGUUUGGACGUUCAGCGUGAAUCUUUGCAACAGCCAUCUUUAGAUGAUCCUUUUCCUGAUACACCAAAAUAAGUAAAAUGAGUUAAGGCAUAACUAAGCAAACUCCAUAUAUAACCACCAACGAGAAGAAACAAAAUAUUUCACCUGUUGCAACAAAGUAUCAAAACUCGAUAACUGGUUCGAGACCCUCUGAUACUCAAGCCCACCGCCUAGAAUCAAUAGUCGAGCGUUCUCAAUCUUCGCUCUCAUUCUCCUAUGAGCCACGUUUUUCUUGCAAACAACUCCUUUAACCACCAUGCUGUAAUUUGAUACACGGACAAAACUUCAUAUGUAUCCAGAUAAAAUGAAGCACUAUGGACUCAACAUUAGUCUUUUGAGAUUUAAGUUUUGUUGGUUCUGUUACCUAUCAUGUCGGAACCCGGAAGCUAAGCACUUAACUUUGACAUAGCCACCAGGAUCCAUUCCUCCACUUUUGCUCAUAUCAGGCUUCAAUAAGUUAGCCGCCUCCCAAGAAAGAGAGGUGAUGAUCUCUAACCAGCUCUCCUUCCCCUCUUCGUCGCUCACAGGGAUGUUCUCGACUUGCAACAACUGUGCAAGCAAAGCCCUAAAGUGCCCAUCAACCACAUUCUUCAUAGCCUUCUUGUGCUCUUCACUUGUUCGAUCCUCGCUACGGUACUCUCCACUUCCAAAGCUAGCGGAAGGUCGCAAGUAUCCCCACUCACCUGAGGCAUCUCCCUCAUUAUCUUCCUCAUCAUACAAAGGACUUUCUCUCUCAUCUUCUUCAUUUUCCGGGUCAGGUGGGACCCACAAAAGUCCAUUGUUCUCGAAAUCCACCGGUUCCGCCACUUGGUCAUCUGGCGGAGAAGGAGCUUCAGAUUCGUCACGACCAUCAUGCUCGUCUUUCUUCUGGAACUGCUCUGCUCCUUCCCCAAUCAGAGACUCAAGACAAUGGUGAAUGAGUGGAGAGCCGCUUAAACUUUUCUGGUCAGAGGUUUCGCCACUAAGAUGCUUACAGAGCCCAUCACCACCUAUGCUCGUCUCCUCAUAUUCCAUUGGCCCAUAAUAUUGAUUAGCUUGAGGAGAAUGGCUCGUAUCAAUAUCAGUCUGGUAUACACCAUACUCAUCGUACUCAUCAUCACUCCUGAUACAUAAAGGAAAAGAAAAGAAAAAAACAAAUUACCCACAAGACCUACCCUAGAGCUUGUUUGCAGUUCAGAAGAAAAGAGUACCUAUUUGAAGCAAAGCGAGAUGGAUCUUGCACAUCUGUAGCGAUGAAGCUGUUCCUCCUCGAAGUUUCUUUGCCUUUUCUCGUCGUGCCUGCCUCCAUAGACGAUACACCAUGCAAACUGACAUCAGAACCACGUUGAGCCCUUUGGUAAGGACCAACUAACCCCGGCAUGGAGCCAAGAGCGAAGCUACUACUAUUAGCAGUGGUACUAGUCUUCGAGCUAAGAAGACUGGACUCCGAAGGCGAGGUGCUAAGCUCAGGGACAUUCGAAACGUGAGCCCCACCAUCACCUUGCUCCUCCCACUGCCUGAAACAAUAAUUACAAACACGGAUCCUCUCCCACUCCUCCCGAGGAGCUCUCAAGUCACUCCCAGCCAAAGGUAUAGAGUUGGCAGUACACUUGCCGCAGAAAACUCUCCCACAGAGACGGCAGUGGUGCCUGCGGUUGAUGAGAGUAAACUGACAGUCACACUCGUAGCAAACACGACAGCUCUGAUCAGGCAUCCAGAAGUCCCUGGACACGGUAGCUGGCUCUGAUCGCCAGGGGAUCCAGGAUUUGACCAGACCCACAAUCUCGGAGAGUGUCUUGUUACUACUACUAUCUCUUGUAUCCAUCUAAAACCUCCCCAACCAUAAUGCUAUGACGGUCAUGGAAAGUCUAUAGAAAUCCAAAACUUUACCCUAAUCAAGAGAGAUAAACGCUAAAACAAUGCUUUGAUCCGGAUCCAAUUAUCACGAAAUCAAUUGGGGGCGAUCAAAGAAACGUUUUUUUUUUUUUUUUCUUUUCAAAAUCGAGCAAAUUCAUCAUCAUCAGGGAUCAAUCAUCUGCAGAAUUGAAAUCGAAAUUCGAAACUUUUGGAAACCCAAAUGAAGUGAUCGCAUGGGAUUUACCUAAAAGAGAAAGCUUGAGGAGUCACGAGAAGGAGAAGAUCGUCUUGUGUUUUUGAUUGACUGAUAAUUCAUGGCAGGGAUAGCGACAUCGUCAAUAAUCCGCGUCUUACAGUUUUAAAUUCAUUACACCGUCGCGUACCUAAUCUUAACUCCCCACACCAUUAUUAUUACAUUUAAUUUUUUGCCUAAUUUAUGAUUUUUUUUUAUAUAUUCAGGUAUAUGAUUUGGCGCAGAAUAUCUGAUAUAUAUGGACCAAAAUACUUUCGAAAUCCCAUAAUUGCAGUUAUUAAUACUGAAAAAUUACUCAAUGACUCUGGUUUUUUUUUCUUUAAAAGGAAAUUGAGGAUCGUCGUCAACAAACCAAAAAAAAGGAUAUUGAGAAUAUUAGGAAAAAAGUAAAUGAGAAUCAAUAGCACAUACUUUCAAAUGUAUAUUACAAGUAUUGAGAACUCGUCGAGAAAAUAUUUUACAAUAAGAAAAAUAAUUAAAGGGAGAAUAUAAGUUCAAUUUCUUAAAUGAGAAUCUUUGAAAAAUCAUAAAAUUUUAUAAGGUGCAUUUGUCUCUCACAGAUUCACUCAGUUUUUUAUUUAGAAUUAAUUAAAUUAAAUUUAAUACAAUACUAAUAUUUUUAAGAUACUCUUGAAUUAAGUAUAUAAAGAAUAGAGAUAUCUUAACUAGCAAAAAAAAAUUAUAAAGAACUAAAAAAUAAUUUGGAAACUUUAAAUUUUAUAAAAUAGCCUGAGUUGAACCGAAGAAUAGUGCUCCCCAAUGCACUAACCAAUGCACAAAAACCAAUUUCUAUACAAGACAAAAAAGACUGAUAUAUUAUGAGGAUUCAUGUAUCACUCUGCUUGUGUACCGGCUUGAGAGGUUUCUUCAGGUUGAUCAGACCUGGAGUUAUUAGCAAUGACAUUAGGCGGAGACCAUUGAUCAGGAACCAUGAGGAAGUAAGUCGUCAUGGCCUUUCUGAAUCUUCUCUUGUAUUGCUUUGGAGAGAUAACCGUUGGUGCUUCAUUCUUUGGUCCUCCUAAGAUUCCCGUAAAUUUCACCCAAGACUCUAGAUGUUUGUCCCAUGUGUACUGCCUCAAGAAGUCGAUAAUCCCGAGAACUAACUCGUUCUUUUCUUCAUCUACGCCUACUAGCAAGGAGUAAUCCAUCACAUCACCCAACUGCAAACACAAAGACGAUACAAAACGUUUACAAUAGAGUACAGAUGAGUAAAUGAUUUGCAAGAGAGUAAAACUCACUGCAAGAAAAGCAGUAUCGUUCCAGACAGCUCUUUCCAACAAUCGUUUUGCUUUGUUACCAACGAAGAUGGGAGAAGUUGGCAUUGCUUCAAUCAAGUUCUGAUCCAACAAGACCUUGUUGCUCCCACUAGCGUCAGGGUUGUAUCGCGCUCGGGAUGAUCCUUUGAGGUCGUAAAGCCGCUUCACAGUUCUUCCAAAGAGAAGAUUCUCCAUUAUCAGAACAUCCAUCUUUGUUUCUUUCCCGCUCUUAAGUUGCUUUGUUGCGACCUAUAAACACAAAUACAUACUCUCAUCAAGAAUGAAUCAAACCUGACCAGAAAAAAAUCUCUCUCAACUUAGCAAUUAGUACCUGAUAGAUUCCCAAGAUUUUUGCCAAACAAGUUGGACUUUUCGUGCUGAUAGACUCAGAUAAAUAUUUGAAGUAAGCAGGUGCAAACUUGAUGAACGAUUCAAGUUCUGUCUUGGUGACUUGCUUGAUGAUGAAACGAUCGUCAAGGGUUUUAGCAAAGAAGACAUUGCUCUUCCCACCUUGAGCUCCCCAUUUCUUACACCGGCUAAGAGACCUUAUAUACUCAAGUUCCGAAGGGAUACAUAUACCUCUCAAGGCCUCAAACCGUUUUGCAUAGUAGCAAGUAACCGUGUACUUCACUUUUCCAAGAGUGCCGUCUUCUCCGUAUGAGACACGAGCAUGUAAAGCUUUUGUAUACGAGAGCGGGUCCAGACUGCGAGAUGAGGACAUUGAAAGUAUACUCUCAUCCACCGAACUUGUGCUUCUGCUAGGAUCAAAAAUGGUGUCAUCAACUGGGCGAGGGAUGUUCAGUUCAGAAGUAUACGAAACUAGAGAUUCCCCUUCAAGAGAUAUUUGGCGUUGAUACUCAGGUGACGUCAAGGCGUAUGCGAUCAUACUUGUGGGUUCAUCAUCAUACACCGGAACAACGAUAUCAUUGAUGCCUACGGGAAGAAGUAGCCUUGGUCCACCUUGAAGCUCUGCCUCUCUAAAAGAUGAAAUAUAGACAGGGCUAUGCUCU